AAUGAAGUGCCUGAAAAAGGAUUAUCUUGAUAGGGUAAAUAAUGUAAAUAUCCUAGUUUUACCUUCAUUA
rnacentral:tRNA from 1 species